rnacentral:lncRNA from 1 species
AAGGGCUGUUGCUCUUUUGGUAUUUCUCAUUCCUUCUUUUGUCUGAAUUCAUCUCCUAACAGAAUUAUUAGUAAAUCAUUAUCCUCUUCCUGGAGCUGUUUACAAGGAGACAGAAUUCAAAGCAGAGCUAAGCAUGCGGGAUAGGAAGAAAGAAAAUAUCAUGGAUAUGUUUCCCAAAGAAAGACCUAGAGGUGACUGUGAGGAAAGAAGAAGAAUACCCAUAUAGGAGAAGAGGAAAAGAACAUAGUGGAAUGUAUUACAAGAAGAUGGCUGGGACCAGAGAGUUGGUGGAAAAGAAGAUGGGAGAGGUGAGGAGGGGAGCUUGAAUCUUACUCUCAUGAGAAUUGGCUCCAAGAUGGAAGUUCCCAAGCCUGGUUCCAGAUUAAGCUUACUUUGGGAGUUCAAACAUUGAAUGAUAUAUUGGUCAAGAAAAGAAAGAACAACAAAAAUUAAACAUCAAAAACAAAAGAUAAAAUGUACUAUUAUGAAAUUUGAUGGGGAU